rnacentral:other from 1 species
GAUACCCUACCGUGUGCGUGGUCAAGCUGACUAAGUUGUGAACCAACACACAUAACUUAGGGAGCCUGGCCUCUCCCAGUGGCGUGUAGCCGUGUGCGGCACGGAAACCCAGGAGCUGGGAGGAGGGCGCCCACCUGCUGGGGGCAGGUUCAUCCACCGUCAGCGGUUUUCAACGGCACGGCGGGGUAAUC